AUGAUUGUAAAUAUAUAUGUUUGAAUUUCCCGCUUUUCUUUUUACUCUCUAAACCUGUCACUGGAGUGACGUGUACACGGCUAAUUUUAAAUACCGCACUCCAGUCCGUGCAGUCCAGCAGAGUGGACGUGUGUCUAUUUAGAAGCACGUGGUAGUCACCAAGAUUGGGAAAUUCUCCCUACUUUGUUCAUUUCCGAAUGUUUGUCACCAUUUUCAAGGGGAUGACGGUUUAUACCAGCUGAAUUGUGACUACAAAGUCGGAGACGAGUACGGAGCGCCAGACCCGCCAUUUUCCAUCCAUAUCGGGGACACGUGGCGUCGAUGUACGUGUAUGGUGUAUGGUGACCGGGAGCGGUCUACGCUGGAGACGUUGGUAUAUGUGUGUUGUGUUGUGGUGUCCUAACGUACCGGAGCAACGGUUGUGUCAUCUGUCCGUGUGUCUGUGUGUCCGUGUGUUGGUCUAUGUGAUGUCCGGGGUUUGGGUGAAAAGUCACCGGAAAUAUACCGAGGAACCAGGAAAGGAAAUGUGACGAAAUUUAUUGAAAUUUCACUUUCAUUGUUUUGAAUAUUUGGUUCUCGUAUAAUUGUAGUGAUAUUUUUGUGAAAUUGAUUUGAAAGUUGAUAAACGAAUUUAGAGAAAUUAUUUGAAAAUCUAAAUAUAUGUGAAUCAAUUUAAGUGUUUAAAUUUUGGAAAGAAUAUUUUGUUUUGAAGUCAAUUUAAAGAUUUGUUGUUGAAAUUGGAGUCGACUCUCUCUUUUAGAAUCUGGUUUAAUAUUUCUUUCAUUUAUUUUUUUUUCUUGUAUGUAUUUUUUUUCUUAUUAAAUAUUUGUUUGUUUAUUUUGGUGUUUUGGUUGUUUCUGAUACAGACAUCUGGCAAUUCCAAAGAACUCGUCUGAUCAUUAUAUCAGUUCAGGAUAUAUGAUUCAUGACAUUUUGGUGGUAGCGGUGGGAUUGCUUUGAUUGCUGUGUUAGUUACAACCUUUACAAAGUGGGCAGAAUUCACCCAUCCCUUGUGAGUAUUUUCUCUUCAUUUCUCUAGUCCUGCUCUAAUUUCAGCCUUACUAUCUCUGUUUCAGUUAGGUGUUGAAUCAUGUCGGAGUUACCGUCGUGGGUUAAUGAUCAGAUUAAGAAGGGGGCAUCAUUGUCUGAUUGUUUAGAAAUGUUGAAGUUGUUGAGUGAGAAGGACAGGGAAGAGAGAAAGAUUGAACGGGAAGAGAGACAGGCUGAGCGUGAGAUGAAGAAAGCUGCGUUGGAUCAUGAGUUUAAGGUUAAGGAGUUAGCAUUGAAAGAGGAAGAGUUAAAGGUAGCUAGAGCUAAUGGAGGGAAAUUAAAUGGUAGUUCAUCUGUCCAGAAUUCUCAUGUUAAGCUUCCUAAGUUGGAAGAAGGUCAAGAUAUUGAUGUGUUUUUGAGAUCAUUUGAGAAACUUGCAGCGUUGCAUAAAUGGGAUAAGUCUGAAUGGGCUAUUCAUUUGGUACCACUAUUGACAGGUAAGGCAUUGGAAGCUUACUCUCGUCUAAGCGAUGGUGAAAGUGGUAAGUAUGAUAAGAUUAAGGAGGCAAUACUCAAACGAUAUGAGUUAACUUCAGAAGCUUAUAGAGAAAAGUUUCGACAGGCAAGGCAACAAUCUGAUGAAUCAUUCAAGGAUUAUCAGGUACGUACAGAAAAGUAUUUAUCGCACUGGUGUGAAAGAGAAGAUAUUCAUGGGCAAUAUAACAGUCUGUACGAUUUGGUGUUGAGAGAGCAAUUGCUUAAGUUUUGUGAUAAAGAUUUGCAGGUAUGGGUUCAUGAACAUCGACCAAAGAAUGUUAAGGAAGUGAUCGAUUUGGUUGAGGCCUAUCAAACAGCUCACAAAAGGUUGACGUUCGGAGGGAACCGCAAAAAUGGAACAGAUCGAAAUUCUCAAGGUAAUUUCAAUGUAAAUCAGGGGCAAUUUAAAGCUGAACAAGGAAAAGGCCCGCAGGUCAAAGACAGAGCCUGUUACUAUUGUAAGAGGCCUGGGCAUAUCCAGAGAGACUGUUCUCUUUACAACCGAGGGCAGUAUAGAAAACCCGAGGACAAGAAGUUUGGUAAGCUUGGGUUGUGUUUGUCAGAACACGAAAAUAAGCAACAUACAGAGGGGGGAAAACCUGACUUGUAUACAAGUGCAGCGUUGGUCAAACUCCCUGGUGUAAGUACAGGGGAUACAAAAGAUGUAGAUGAUAAUUCAGUACCAGGUUUGGAUAUUUCUAGGGGAAGUGUAGGAGGUAAAGAGGCAACAGUUUUGAGAGAUACUGGUUGUUCAACUGUAUUCGUCCACAGUCGUCUAGUCGAGAAGGAGCAAAUGACUGGGAGAGGAAGGAAGAUAAUUCUUGCUGAUGGGUCCGAGAAACAAUGCCAAGAAGCGUGUGUAGAGAUAGAUACGCCAUUUAUAAAAGGUAAAUUGUUUGCUCUUAUCUUAGAUUCUCCAUUUGCUGACGUCAUACUUGGAAACGUAAUAGACAAGAUCGAGAAAAUGGAAGUUGAGAAACCAGCUGACUGUUUGGCAGUUCAGACAAGAGCACAGACUCGAUUGGAAGCAGAGGAAACGAAGCCUAGACCAAAGAAGACAGAUGAUGGUGAGCUAAAAUUUGACAUUUGUGAUACAGAGACAUUGAUCAAAUUGCAGGAAACUGAUCCUAGCCUGACACGUGUGAGGGAAAUGACAUUUGAAAAGCCAGACGAAGGUCAGUCAUACUACACUCUCAAGGACAAGAUUCUCUACAGGGUAUUUCCUCGUGAGGUAGGAAAUGACAUAUUUCAGAUUGUCCUUCCCCAUAAAUACAGGUCGUUGGCACUUGAAAUGGCACAUGACAUUCCUAUGUCGGGUCAUAUGGGAGUAAAGAAGACCAGAAACAGGAUUUUACAGCAUUUCUUUUGGCCUGGAAUUUUUUCAGACACAUCAAAAUACUGCAGAUCCUGUCCAGAGUGUCAAAAAGGUACGGCGAAAGGAAGAGUGAAAAAGGUACCACUUGUAAGUAUACCUACUAUCGACGAACCAUUUCAGCGAAUUGCACUAGAUUUUGUAGGUCCUUUGCCAUUGACAGAAUCCAAGAACAGAUUUGUUUUGGUAUGUGUAGAUUAUGCUACAAAGUAUCCAAUUGCAGUAGCUCUAAAAAACCAAGAGGCGGAGACAGUAGCAGAGGCCUUGAUGGGAAUAUUUGCUGACGUGGGUUUUCCAAAUGAAAUCCUCACAGAUCAAGGCAGUAACUUUAUGUCCGAGUUGAUAAAAGAACUGUGUAGAUUACUGAAGGUGAGUAAAUUGGUAAGUUCUCCGUAUCACCCUCAAACAAAUGGCCUGGUGGAAAAGUUUAAUGGCACUUUAAAGAAAAUGUUGAAGGCAUAUGCGGUCAAAGAACCCUCAAAGUGGGACAAACAUCUUCCUUAUGUUCUAUUUGCUUAUAGGGAGGUUCCAAACGAAACCACUGGAUUUUCUCCUUUUGAAAUGCUUUUUGCAAGGCAGGUACGAGGUCCUUUAGCAGUCCUGAAAGAUCACUGGGAAGAACCAGAGAAUUGUCAGUCAUCUGUUCUGAGUUACCUACUCGAAACAAGGGAGCGAUUGAAGGAGUGCACAGAGCUCGCAAAAGAGAAGGAAAAAGUCGAAAAGCACAAGCAGAAAGUGUAUUACGACAGGAAAGCUAGAACAAGACAAUACGAGGUAGGUGACAAAGUUUUAGUAUUGCUACCAUCUAAUACAUCAAAAUUACUUGCACAGUGGAAAGGUCCAUUCGAGAUAACAGAGAAAGUCGGUAAUGUUGACUACAGAGUUAAGGUGAAAAGGAACAAAGAGACAGUAUUUCAUGUCAACAUGCUGAAAAAAUGGUAUGAUCGUGAGGACAAAUGUGAACAAGACUUGUCGAAAGAACAUUUAUCAGCUAUUGACAUACUGGGAGGUGUGUAUGAGAGUAUGGACUACGAUUCUGAAUUUAACGACAGAGCAUCACCUUCGUUAGAACUUCAAAAAGGGGCUGAAGAUGUAAUUUUUUCCAAUACACUGUCGAAUACUCAGGUUUGUCAGUUAAGAGGUUUGUUGAAUGAGUUUUCUGAUGUUUUUAGCGAUAUACCCAACAGAACAGAUGUAGUUCAGCAUUCAGUAAAACUUAAGUCAGACGAUCCCGUCCAUAAGAAGCCGUAUCCUGUGCCCUACGCACUGAGGGAACGCAUGCAGAAAGAGAUAGAUAAUAUGACCGAGGUUGGUAUUAUUGAACCCUCAACAAGCCCUUAUGCGUCACCAGUGGUUUUGGUAAGAAAAGAUGACUCUUCUAUCAGAUUCUGUUGUGAUUAUAGAGCGUUAAAUAGUAUCACUGUAUUUGAUCCAAGACCUAUGCCGCGCAUGGAUGACCUUUUGAACGAGGUGAGUAGAGCAAAGUUUAUCAGCAAAAUUGAUCUUACAAAAGGCUACUGGCAGAUCCCGCUAGAUGAGGACGCAAAGCAGAAGAGCGCAUUUGUGACCCCCAUGGGCCACUAUCAAUUCACGGUAAUGCCGUUCGGUAUGGUAAAUGCGCCUGCAACUUUUGUCAGAUUGAUGCACAAAGUUCUCGAUGGUUUGCAUUCAUUUGUUCAAUGUUUUAUAGAUGAUAUUGGAAUCUACAGUGAGACUUGGGACGAUCAUCUCCAGCAUUUGAGAGUAGUUUUCCAGCGAUUGAGGGAUGCAAAGUUGUCUGCAAAGCCAUCUAAGUGUUGUUUUGGGUUUGAUCAACUAGAAUUUCUGGGACAUGUGGUCGGAAAAGGUAUUGUCUCUCCUAAGCAAAGUAAAGUUCAGGCAAUUCAGAAAUUCCCUGUUCCUACUACAAAAAAGCAUGUUCGAUCAUUUUUAGGGACCAUAGGCUUUUACCGGAAAUUCAUUCCACAUUUUUCAGAACUAGCUUCACCUUUGUUUGAUCUUACUAGAAAGAAAGGUUGUUCUAAGAUAGUUUGGCUUCCAGUGCAUCAGAAGGCUUUUGAUUCAUUAAAGAAUGCUAUAGCUAGUAACCCAGUGUUGCGUAGUCCAGAUUUUAGUAAGUUGUUCUAUCUGCGCACUGAUGCAUCAGAUUGUGGAGUUGGGGCGGUAUUAGAACAGAAUUUUGAAGAUGGUAGACAUCCAAUUCUUUAUCUCAGUAAGAAAUUGUCAGAUACUGAAAAGAGAUACGCAGUGAUUGAAAAAGAAUGUUUUGCAAUUAUCUGGAGUAUUAAGUCGCUCAGAGUUUUUCUUGAAGGUCGAUCAUUUGUGGUUGAGUCUGAUCAUGCUCCACUGCAGUGGCUAGAUAGAAUAAAGAUGACAAAUCAGAGGUUACUUCGUUGGAGUUUGACACUUCAGGAGUUCAAUUUUGAGGUUGUUCAUGUAAAGGGGAAAGAUAAUGUUGUUGCAGAUUAUUUGUCGAGAAUAGAUUCAUCCUCUUGAAAUUGUGUAAAUAUUUAGAGAUGGUUUGUUAUUUUGUGUUGUAUGUUUGACAUUUAGUGUUAUCAAGUUCGUUAGAGUUUUGGUCGGACUAAUGGCAUUAGUCUUCUAAAGGGGGACGUUUGUAACGUACUUGAUAUGAUUGUAAAUAUAUAUGUUUGAAUUUCCCGCUUUUCUUUUUACUCUCUAAACCUGUCACUGGAGUGACGUGUACACGGCUAAUUUUAAAUACCGCACUCCAGUCCGUGCAGUCCAGCAGAGUGGACGUGUGUCUAUUUAGAAGCACGUGGUAGUCACCAAGAUUGGGAAAUUCUCCCUACUUUGUUCAUUUCCGAAUGUUUGUCACCAUUUUCAAGAAAUUGUGUUAAAGGGGAUGACGGUUUAUACCAGCUGAAUUGUGACUACAAAGUCGGAGACGAGUACGGAGCGCCAGACCCGCCAUUUUCCAUCCAUAUCGGGGACACGUGGCGUCGAUGUACGUGUAUGGUGUAUGGUGACCGGGAGCGGUCUACGCUGGAGACGUUGGUAUAUGUGUGUUGUGUUGUGGUGUCCUAACGUACCGGAGCAACGGUUGUGUCAUCUGUCCGUGUGUCUGUGUGUCCGUGUGUUGGUCUAUGUGAUGUCCGGGGUUUGGGUGAAAAGUCACCGGAAAUAUACCGAGGAACCAGGAAAGGAAAUGUGACGAAAUUUAUUGAAAUUUCACUUUCAUUGUUUUGAAUAUUUGGUUCUCGUAUAAUUGUAGUGAUAUUUUUGUGAAAUUGAUUUGAAAGUUGAUAAACGAAUUUAGAGAAAUUAUUUGAAAAUCUAAAUAUAUGUGAAUCAAUUUAAGUGUUUAAAUUUUGGAAAGAAUAUUUUGUUUUGAAGUCAAUUUAAAGAUUUGUUGUUGAAAUUGGAGUCGACUCUCUCUU